AUGGACAUGAAGGUCCCUGUUCAGCUCCUUGAGCUCCUGUUGCUCUUGUUUCCAGGUGCCAUAUGUGACAUCCAGAUGACCCAGUCUCCAUCUUCCUUGUCUGCAUCUCUGGGAGACAGAGUCACUAUCACUUGCAGGGCCAGUGAGGACAUUUAUAAUAAUUUAAACUGGUACCAGCAGAAACCGGGGAAAUCUCCUAAGCUCCUUAUCUAUUAUACAAAUAACUUGGCAGAUGGGCUCCCAUCUAGAUUCAGUGGCAGUGGGUCUGGGACAGAUUAUUCUCUCACCAUCAGCAGCCUGGAGUCAGAAGACAUUGCAACCUAUUACUGUCAACAGGUUUAUAAUUAUCCUCCCACAGUGAUACAAUCUACAGGCCCAAAGUAUCUAUCAGACAUUUCCAGAAAUCAGAAAAUUUCAAAGACAUUUCCGACUAUUUUGCCAGUUUGUCGGUCACUUUCUUCUGUAUCCCAUAGAAUGUCUGGCAGACUCUUUACUGAAGCAAGUACCCUUAAGGACCAUGUCGCCUUUAGGCACGUUUAG